UCCCUGGUGGUCCAGUGGUUAAGACUCUGCACUUCAACUGCAGGGGACACAGGUUCAAUCCCUGGUUAGGGAA
rnacentral:tRNA from 2 species